UGAACUUGCGGAGGGAUCAUUACACAAAUAUGAAGGCGGGCUGGAACCUCUCGGGGUUACAGCCUUGCUGAAUUAUUCACCCUUGUCUUUUGCGUACUUCUUGUUUCCUUGGUGGGUUCGCCCACCACUAGGACAAACAUAAACCUUUUGUAAUUGCAAUCAGCGUCAGUAACAAAUUAAUAAUUACAACUUUCAACAACGGAUCUCUUGGUUCUGGCAUCGAUGAAGAACGCAGCGAAAUGCGAUAAGUAGUGUGAAUUGCAGAAUUCAGUGAAUCAUCGAAUCUUUGAACGCACAUUGCGCCCUUUGGUAUUCCAAAGGGCAUGCCUGUUCGAGCGUCAUUUGUACCCUCAAGCUUUGCUUGGUGUUGGGCGUCUUGUCUCUAGCUUUGCUGGAGACUCGCCUUAAAGUAAUUGGCAGCCGGCCUACUGGUUUCGGAGCGCAGCACAAGUCGCACUCUCUAUCAGCAAAGGUCUAGCAUCCAUUAAGCCUUUUUUUCAACUUUUGACCUCGGAUCAGGUAGGGAUACCCGCUGAACUUAAGCAUAUCAAUAAG
rnacentral:rRNA from 1 species